AGCGAACGCUGGCGGCAGGCUUAACACAUGCAAGUCGAGCGGGCCCUUCGGGGUCAGCGGCCGACGGGUGAGUAACACGUGGGAACGUACCCUUUGGUUCGGAAUAACGCUGGGAAACUAGCGCUAAUACCGGAUACGCCCUUUUGGGGAAAGGCUUGCUGCCGAAGGAUCGGCCCGCGUCUGAUUAGCUGGUUGGUGGGGUAAUGGCCUACCAAGGCGACGAUCAGUAGCUGGUCUGAGAGGAUGAUCAGCCACACUGGGACUGAGACACGGCCCAGACUCCUACGGGAGGCAGCAGUGGGGAAUAUUGGACAAUGGGCGCAAGCCUGAUCCAGCCAUGCCGCGUGAGUGAUGAAGGCCUUAGGGUUGUAAAGCUCUUUUGUCCGGGACGAUAAUGACGGUACCGGAAGAAUAAGCCCCGGCUAACUUCGUG
rnacentral:rRNA from 1 species